UACGGAAGGCAGCAGUGGGGAAUAUUGCACAAUGGGCGCAAGCCUGAUGCAGCCAUGCCGCGUGUAUGAAGAAGGCCUUCGGGUUGUAAAGUACUUUCAGUCGUGAGGAAGGUGUUAAGGUUAAUAACCUUAGCAAUUGACGUUAGCGACAGAAGAAGCACCGGCUAACUCCGUGCCAGCAGCCGCGGUAAUACGGAGGGUGCGAGCGUUAAUCGGAAUUACUGGGCGUAAAGGGCACGCAGGCGGUUAAUUAAGUUGGAUGUGAAAUCCCCGGGCUUAACCUGGGAAUGGCAUUCAAGACUGGUUAGCUAGAGUCUUGUAGAGGGGGUAGAAUUCCAUGUGUAGCGGUGAAAUGCGUAGAGAUGUGGAGGAAUACCGGUGGCGAAGGCGGCCCCUGGACAAAGACUGACGCUCAUGUGCG
rnacentral:rRNA from 1 species